GAAUAUGAUGAUAGGUAUUGUCGCCCCAGUCUUACAUGCAUCAAUGGUGCAGUAUGGUGAUUGACUUCAAUUCCUGAUUC